AAAGAAAGCUGGUCAGUUCCUCUUUCUGUUUCUCAAGGGCUUUCCUGUCAGCCUCUGCUUGUGUUCUGAUGGAUCUCUCUGACUGUAGAGCCUUCACUAUUUUGGCCUUUUCCUGCUCCCAACUGACCUCCUUGGUGACCAUCUGCUCCUUCAAGACAGCGUUUUCCAAGUAGAGCUUGCUGACUUGUUUUUCCAUGUCCGAUAUGGUUUUGAACAAGUCCUCAGGCUCUCUGCUGGGACUUUGCUGGUCCAGCACUGGUGGGGCUAGGCAGCCCUUGUUUGCAGGUCCACUAGGAGAGCUGACCCCCUGUUCCAUCCGCUUCUCCAGGGCCUUCUUGUCGGCCUGUAUUUGUUUCUUGAUGCAUCUCUCUGCCUGUAAAGCCUUCAUUAUUUUAGCUUUUUCCUGCUCCCAACCAAGCUCCUUGAUGGCAAACUGCUUCUUCAAAUCAGCAUUUUCUGAUGCCAGCUCAACUUCCUGUUGGACGUCCAAAAGGGUUUUUUGCUCGCUGACUUGUUUUUCGAUGUCCGAUAGGGUUUUGAACAAGUCCUCAGGCUCUCUGCUGGGAGUUUGCUGGUCCAGCACUGGUGGGGCUAGGCAGCCCUUGUUUGCAGGUCCACUAGGAGAGCUGACCCCCUGUUCCAUCCGCUUCUCCAGGGCCUUCUUGUCGGCCUGUAUUUGUUUCUUGAUGCAUCUCUCUGCCUGUAAAGCCUUCAUUAUUUUAGCUUUUUCCUGCUCCCAACCAAGCUCCUUGAUGGCAAACUGCUUCUUCAAAUCAGCAUUUUCUGAUGCCAACUCAACUCGUUGUUGGAUGUCCAAAAGGAUUUUUUUCUGGUCCUGCAUUGUAACAAAGUGGUAGUAUUUGAUAAUGAUAGAAUAACAACGUUUCUGUGAAUUUGUGUCUUUGUAUGAGUAGCUGUCCCUCUGUUCUCACAAGCUGUGUCCCUGGGUGGCUGACAGAUACAAGUGGCAGUUAGAAUGUUUGGUUAGAAUUCAGUCCUAUUUCUUGAUGUCCAGACUGAUGUCACUGAAUGUCAUAUCAUAGAUGAAAGGGUUAGAAUGUGAUGAUGUCAUCGGCCGUGAUGUCAGAAUGUGAUGAUGUCAUCGGCCGGGAUGUCAGAAUGUGAUGAUGUCAUCGGCCGUGAUGUCAGAAUGUGAUGUCACACAGGAAUGUACAGGCUCAAUUACCGAUGUUGUUGUGGCUGCAAGGAAUUAUUUAUUGCCGUCUAUUGAUCACAUUCUAUACUUUUUAAUUUUUAUACUUUUUAAAAAUUACUCGUUGGCUUUACUUUAAAAAAUCAUGGAAAGGAUUUCCACAUGAUUAAAUUGGUUUCUCUCUAUGCUAAACAAUUACGUUGCUCUAACACUAUGUUAUUGUGUUGGGUUAAUAUAGUUUAGUAGAGUUGAAUUGAUAUGAAUGGUUUUAUCACUUUCAACUACAUUUAGUUAAGUUAGUUGAACUUAAUUGAACUUAAUUUAAUUGAGUUCAAAUUAAAUACAUUUAACCUAUUAAUGUCACGGUUUGGGUUCAUGUCUGGUUUUAUUUUGUAGUUUCUUGCCUCUAUUCUCCCUGGGUCACGUCACUUCCUGCCGUGUCCUGUCUUUCCCUGUGAUAGUCUGUCAUGUCAUGAUUGUUUCCAGCUGUUUCCAAUCACCUGCACCUCUCUAGUGUAUUAAGCAAUGCGUGUCUGUUGUCACUUGUGGCGUCAUUACUAAUUGUUGGUUGUCCGAAAACUGACCUAGCAACGGAAAGGGCAACCUUCACUAGCAGCAGGUUGCACAUACAAAACAUAAAAACACAUGGGAACUAGGCAAGUAUAAUUUAGCUAGACCAUCACACAUGCGCUUUUUAACAUUGGAAUCGCUUUUUCAGUCAGAAACAUUCACCGUUUUAUGCCUAGCAGGUCAGUGAGGUGGACCAGGACACUCUUUGAGGGACAGCAGACACAGGACACUUUUCCAGUCAGAAAUUGCUGUAAAAAAGUCAGAUAGAACAAUCAAUUAAUAUCCAUGAAGGUUAAGUUAUUACGUUAUCUUGAUUAAAAAAUAUAUUGUUAUGGAAAGUAACUAAUGUUAACUGGCUAAACUAGUGCAUUGAAGUAAAAAUAAGUAACAUUUUAAGAUACAAGUUCUGAUUGCUUAGGGGUAAUACUUCGAGGCGAGACUCAUGAUUUGCUGCUCCUGACGUUUUUACACUAAAAUAAAUAUGCAGCCAUCUCAAAAAAAUGAUUCAAGCCCUUCUUAGAUGUAACAAGUUUACAUGGUGAUUUCUUUAUUUGAAUAUAUCUAUAAACAGAUGAACAUAUAUAUAAUCAAUAGCAGCAACAUAAAAUGGUUUAAUAGUUUCACUUAUGAGAUUUGUUUAGGUUAAAGCAUGCAUGUGUCAACCAGUGUUAAUUUCGUUGCCGAAAACUAUGACGAAAAUUUUUCGUUAACGAAGCUUUUUUCCAUGACUAAGACUAAGACGUGACGAAAACGAUCUUAAAAAAAAAAAACUAUGACUAAAUCUAUUCUAACUUUCGUUAACGAGACGAGACGAACAUGUUGGUGUUUGACGAAGUCACGAUACUUUUCCCCCCGAAAUUCGCACGCAGCUGACAGACAACAGACCGGCAAAGUACGGCGGAUAUUAACGCGUCACGAUGACGUCAUCCACGAACCCAGAACGCUCGCUCGCGUCGGUGCAGCGGUGGUUUCUUGUGCACCGACUACGGACCGCGACGACUAUUUUACUCUUCGCCGAGUUUGAACGUGGCUUCGUUAGUUUAGCUCGGCUGUCUCUGUUUAGCUGCCUGUUAGCGGGCUGAAGCCGCGCUGCUUCACAGAAACAUGAAGACGCGUUUAAAGACUGUCGGACCUUUCUGCUCUGUUCUCUGGCGACGGCAGGCAGCGUUUCCUCGGUAGAUGAAAUGGUCCGUUACAAACGCGUCUAACGUAAUAAACUCAUUGCAGGUUCUGAAGCCAAGAAAAUAAUGUAUUGCACCGAUUGUAGGACGUUAAGGUCUCUUUUGUUGGGACAGUGGAAACAAUAAAGGACCAUGAAGUGUCAAAAGCAUUGCAAGUAAACAGACAAAGACAACAAAGUGUUGCGUUUAGAUCCCUGGUCCUCAUAAAGUUGUUACACCUUUGGCGAUUUGUUAAAAAGCCUUAACAAUAAAUGCUUUGCUAAUU
ensembl:lncRNA